AGGAGAGAGGUCGAGUUUCCUCAG
rnacentral:siRNA from 1 species